rnacentral:rRNA from 1 species
GAAGGACGGGACGAACACCGAUAUGCUUCGGAGAGCUGUAAGCAAGCUUUGAUCCGGAGAUUUCCGAAUGGGGAAACCCGGA